rnacentral:tRNA from 1 species
GGGGCCGUAGUCCAGCUUGGUAAGAUGCGAGGCUUGGGCCCUCGUGAUCCCGGGUUCAAAUCCCGGCGGCCCCA